CUUCUGCCCUGGGCUGGUUCCCAGCGAGGUGAGUGACCGGCACAAGUAGGGAAGGAGGAAGCGAGUUUUUAAAAACUGAGUCAGCUCACGCCCUCGGCCAGGGUCCCCACCCGAUGCGUGGUCCCCAGGGCGCCCUCGGGAUCGCACGCCCGAGUCCCGGCCCAGGUGGGGCCCAUUCCGGGUUCUUGCGCGCGGGCAAUGGAUGGGGGCGCGCUGCACCGGGAGCCUGCCCUGCUGAGGGCUCAUCCCCAGCUUUGCCGAGAACUUUCCCGGCGAGGCACCGGCUGGCGUUUUCCCAGCCUGCGAGUGGCAGGCGGGCAGCCAGUCUCUGCUCGGAUCCACGGAGGCCCGGAGCCGCCACGGAGUUCUGGCUCCGGGGAGUGCAAACCCGAAGUCGGCGCGGAAGCCUCUCACCCGCGGCUCUGCCUCCGCCCCUUGGAGAUCUGCCCUCGGAACUGCGUUGCUCUGGCGCCCGAACUAGGGUGGGCUGGUUUCAGCCAGACCGCCAAAAAACGUGGAUGCUAAACACAGAGGGAAGAGCCAGCUCCCAUUCCCUCUCUGAGCCUUAGAUUUUUUUGAAUUCCGAGAGAGGUCAGGCCGGGGUCCCCUUCUUGGGUGAGCGUCCAGCCCUUUGAAGUUCAAACACUGAGAAGCCGAUAGGCAGCUGGCUGGCGUCACAGGAUCGAGCCGAGGACUGAAGGCGCCUCCUACCGGGAAUCCACCGCCUCCAGACGAAAAUAGGCUGCAAUCAAGUUCACUUCCAAAGGCGGAAUUCAUGGGUACAUAUGGUGUCCACGUGUGUACACCUGCAGAGUUGUAACAUGCGGGCAUUUCUCCCCUCAGCCCGCCAUUCUGGCUUCUUAACUUGCACCCUAACAGCUCGACAGAACCUUGGCGUCCACAAAAAGGACUUGAGGUGGGACAUGGAAGAACAGGGACCCCUCCUGGUUUGUCCACCCAGCCCACACCUCCAUUCCUCACCCAACCUACCACUUCAGAGCCGGGAAAAGACCUCAGAGAACAUCCGCUCCGACUCUACCGAGGCUCAGACAGGGUAAGGAGUUGGCCCCACGUCACACAGCCUGGUGUAUGUGGCAGAGCCUGGGUGACAGACAGUCAGCCCCACCAGGUCUUUCAGCUCC
rnacentral:lncRNA from 1 species